rnacentral:rRNA from 1 species
AUGAUGGAGGGCGGCCCCGACGGCGUCGCCCGGAUCGAGCAGCAGCAAGCCAAACCAUCGCCGGAACAAGAAACGGCAGUGCUGCUCAGGAAGGAAAAAGGGCAAGAGGAAGCGAAUGGAAUGACGAACGGACGCAGAAGGGCAGCAGUAUUUAUAGGAAACGGCAGAAGAGAAGAAAUCAAAUUGGAAACGUGCAGCGAAGGCGGCGCAGAAAUACCCAGAGGAUUCCAUCGAAGCGGCAACCGCCAGCGCGAAGAGUCGGGAAGAUGCAAACGGCAGCCGACUCAAGCGAGCAUACGUGGCAGGAAACAGAGAUAA